rnacentral:lncRNA from 1 species
CCCAUGCUCAGGUAUUGGGUUUGGAACCCUAGAAGUGAUAGAUUAGAUCUAUCACUAAUUGUUGUUCUUGUUCAAAUGCUUGUAACAUUAGAUUCAGAUUUUUAUGCAUAUAAAUUCAUGUUAUAAAUCUAUUUGUAGGAGUUUUAAUAUCAGAUCUUAUAUAUAUAUUUAUAAAUUAAAUAGUUUAAUCUAAUAUUCUUCUGCUAAAAAUUUUAAAAUGCAUG